rnacentral:rRNA from 1 species
UACGGGGGGGGCAAGCGUUGUUCGGAAUUACUGGGCGUAAAGGGCUCGUAGGCGGCCAACUAAGUCAUACGUGAAAUCCCUCGGCUUAACCGGGGAACUGCGUCUGAUACUGGAUGGCUUGAGUUCGGGAGAGGGAUGCGGAAUUCCAGGUGUAGCGGUGAAAUACGUAGAUAUCUGGAGGAACACCGGUGGCGAAGGCGGCAUCCUGGACCGAUACUGAAGCUGAGGAGCGAAAGCCAGGGGAGCAAACGGG